AUUGAACGCUGGCGGCAUGCCUUACACAUGCAAGUCGAACGGUAACGCGGGGCAACCUGGCGACGAGUGGCGAACGGGUGAGUAAUGCAUCGGAACGUGCCCGGUAGUGGGGGAUAACUGCUCGAAAGAGCAGCUAAUACCGCAUACGACCUGAGGGUGAAAGGGGGGGAUCGCAAGACCUCAUGCUUUCGGAGCGGCCGAUGUCGGAUUAGCUAGUUGGUGGGGUAAAGGCCUACCAAGGCGACGAUCCGUAGCGGGUCUGGGAGGAUGAUCCGCCACACUGGGACUGGGACACGGCCCAGACUCCUACGGGAGGCAGCAGUGGGGAAUUUUGGACAAUGGGGGCAACCCUGAUCCAGCCAUGCCGCGUGAGUGAAGAAGGCCUUCGGGUUGUAAAGCUCUUUCGGCCGGGAAGAAAUCGCGUGGGUUAAUACCCUGCGUGGAUGACGGUACCGGAAUAAGAAGCACCGGCUAACUACGUGCCAGCCGCCGCGGUAACAC
rnacentral:rRNA from 1 species